rnacentral:ncRNA from 1 species
AUUAUGCUUUCGCCGCUUAAGCGGAAGCACAGUCGUCCUGACUGGUAACGGUCAGUGAUUACAAUCGGGUGAAUUGCUGGAAACCCCUGAAGCUUUUCUUGCCACAGCGGAGUCGGAAACGACAGACGUAACGGUCAAAAAAAGAAGAGAUUGGGCAAUCAGCAGCCAAGCUCCUGUUCCGAAAGGAUGGAGAAGGUUCAACGACUAGGAUAGACCACCGUGCGAGGUGAUGAAAUCCGUAGGUGAGAUAAGCAUUGGUUCAGUGCUAUUGAUCCGAAGUGCCCGACCCCUUUUCUAAAAAAGGGUGAAGAUAUAGUCUAGGCAUUUGUGAAAGCAGAUG